CUUUAUUCUAAAUGACGUACUCAAAACUGAUCUACUGCCUGUUUUAAUUUUGGAUAACCAGAGGGGAUUUCAUUACAGGGUGCAGAUAUGAAGAGUUGCAAUUUGUGAGGCUUGUUGUUUCAGUCUGUUGAUCGUUAUGCACAGUUUGUUUGCCAAAGCUUUGUGGUGGCCUGUGGCAGCGUAAGGGUUGGUGGAAUGUCCCAGGUAAACACCAGAUACUUGACUCAUUCAUCAUCAUUUUGUUCCUCUCGUUUUGUCACAGCUGUGAGUAUUUAAGGAAGAUCGAUGAUACAAGAUGUCUCUCCUUCUUCUUCCCUCUGACGCCCUCCCAACUCUCUCCGCUCCAGGGGUUGCGUCCAACGCGGAAUCAUUCAGGGCCUCUAUCAUUUUCUCGUCAAC